UGCGUGUGCUUAUUUCUGAUUGGUUGUUAUUGUUUAGCUUCAACAGGUAAGAAUCGCACCUGCGUGUUUGUUAUGAUUAUAACACCUUCGGGUAUUCCCAGAAUGAAUUUAAAUGACGUAUUAUACCUUUUUCAUUAAAAAGUAGGUGUAUUUUUUCAUAUUUUGCAAUUUGAAUUUAUGUCUCUGUGCUCUGAUUGGCUGAUUGACGGAAGUGGGGAUGCAUUCCCGCAUUUCCCUUCAUGCAAUUUACCAACAACACCACUCCAUUACUAUUUUACUUACUAGUGGUGAACAAGUUAGCUGGUGCGCAGCCCCAGCCUCCGGCCACGAACUGUACGGCACCCUAGCUCCAUAAAAAACACUAUUCCACGUGUCGAGUUCCACGUUUUCGAGUUUAAUUGGUCGUGGGGUAUGUUUCCUUUUAGUUAACUGGGGCGAAGCCCCAGCCACGCGCAACAUAGUUCCGUAAAAACCACUAUUCCACGUUUCGAGUUCCACGGUUUCGAGUUUAAUUGUUCGUGGGGUAUGUUUAUUUUUAGUUUGCUGGGGCGAAGCCCCAGCCUGUACCCUACGACCUGUACGCGCUGUAGCUCCAUAAAAAUCACUAUUCCACGUUUCGAGUUCAACAUUUUCGAGUUUAAUCGUCCGUGGGGUAUGUUUAUUUUUAGGUCGCUGGGGCGAAGCCCCAGCCUGUGGGCUAUCAUCUGUAGGCGCCUUGCCUCAUUUAUAGUUAUAUUUACGGCUAAUAUCAUUUAUUAGAGUGUUAAUAAAAUUUAAAAAGUCUAGGUCAAGGUCAUUCAAAGUCGAAUUUUUCGAAAACGGGGCAUUUGCACAAACUUUCAUGGUCAUAUCUUUGAUCUAGAGGCUUUUUAAAGCAAAAUGCAAAAAAAAAUUUUUCAAAAAUCCAGAAGUAGCUAAAGUAAAAAUUUACCUCAAACUU